rnacentral:rRNA from 1 species
CCAAUAGCGUAUAUUAAAGUUGUUGCAGUUAAAAAGCUCGUAGUUGAAUUUCGGGGUUAGUAGGUUGGUCAUGCCACUGGUAUGUACUGGUCUCACUGAUUCCUCCUUCCUGAUGAACCGUAAUGCCAUUAAUUUAGUGUGGUGGGAAAUCAGGACUGUUACUUUGAAAAAAUUAGAGUGUUUAAAGCAGGCUCACGCUUGAAUACAUUAGCAUGGAAUAAUGAAAUAGGACGUUGAUCCUAUUUUGUUGGUUUCUAGGAUUGACGUAAUGAUUAAUAGGGAUAGUUGGGGGCAUUAGUAUUCAAUUGUCAGAGGUGAAAUUCUUGGAUUUAUUGAAGACUAACUACUGCGAAAGCAUUUGCCAAGGAUGUUUUCAUUAAUCAAGAACGAAAGUUAGGGGAUCGAAGACGAUCAGAUACCGUCGUAGUCUUAACCAUAAACUAUGCCGACUAGGGAUCGGAUGAUGUUAAUUUUUUAAUGACUCAUUCGGCGCCUUACG